rnacentral:rRNA from 1 species
GUCGAGCGAUGGAUUAAGAGCUUGCUCUUAUGAAGUUAGCGGCGGCACGGGUGAGUAACACGUGGGUAACCUGCCCAUAAGACUGGGAUAACUCCGGGAAACCGGGGCUAAUACCGGAUAACAUUUUGAACUGCAUGGUUCGAAAUUGAAAGGCGGCUUCGGCUGUCACUUAUGGAUGGACCCGCGUCGCAUUAGCUAGUUGGUGAGGUAACGGCUCACCAAGGCAACGAUGCGUAGCCGACCUGAGAGGGUGAUCGGCCACACUGGGACUGAGACACGGCCCAGACUCCUACGGGAGGCAGCAGUAGGGAAUCUUCCGCAAUGGACGAAAGUCUGACGGAGCAACGCCGCGUGAGUGAUGAAGGCUUUCGGGUCGUAAAACUCUGUUGUUAGGGAAGAACAAGUGCUAGUUGAAUAAGCUGGCACCUUGACGGUACCUAACCAGAAAGCCACGGCUAACUACGUGCCAGCAGCCGCGGUAAUACGUAGGUGGCAAGCGUUAUCCGGAAUUAUUGGGCGUAAAGCGCGCGCAGGUGGUUUCUUAAGUCUGAUGUGAAAGCCCACGGCUCAACCGUGGAGG